CAUGCAGUCGAGCGAGAAAGGGGGGCAACUCCCUGAGUACAGCGGCGCACGGGUGAGUAACACGUGGGUAAUCUGCCCUGGAGUGGGGAAUAACACCGGGAAACCGGUGCUAAUACCGCAUAUGAUCACGAGAUCUGCGGAUUUAGUGAUGAAAGGAGCAAUUCGCUCUAGGAGGAGCCCGCGGCUGAUUAGCUAGUUGGUGAGGUAAUGGCUCACCAAGGCAACGAUCAGUAUCCGGUCUGAGAGGACGGUCGGACACACUGGAACUGAGACACGGUCCAGACUCCUACGGGAGGCAGCAGUGGGGAAUUUUUGGCAAUGGGGGCAACCCUGACCAAGCAACGCCGCGUGGGUGAUGAAGUCUCUUGGGACGUAAAACCCUUUCGACGGGGAAGAAAACCGCAAGGUUUGACGGUACCCGUAGAAGAAGCCCCGGCUAACUCCGUGCCAGCAGCCGCGGUAAUACGGGGGGGGCAAGCGUUGUUCGGAAUUACUGGGCGUAAAGGGCGCGUAGGCGGUUCGCUAAGUUGGAUGUGAAAACUCUGGGCUCAACCCAGAGCCUGCAUCCAAAACUGGCGGGCUAGAGUUCUGGAGGGGGUAGCGGAAUUCCAGGUGUAGCGGUGAAUGCGUAGAUAUCAGGAGGAACACCGGUGGCGAAGGCGGCUACCUGGACAGAAACUGACGCUGAGGCGCGAAAGCUAGGGGAGCAAACAGGAUUAGAUACCCUGGUAGUCCUAGCCCUAAACGAUGGAUACUUGGUG
rnacentral:rRNA from 1 species